GUGCACGAAGGGAUAUGUAAGUACAAUUUAAAAGAUGAACCAUCAAUCACCUUGCUUGAAAUCGUGUAUUAUUUGCACUCGGCC